rnacentral:tRNA from 1 species
GUUUUUGUAGUUGAUAUACAACGGUGGUUUUUCGAGCCGCAGGACUCUAAUGGGCAAAAAUU